rnacentral:rRNA from 1 species
GACGAACGCUGGCGGCGUGCUUAACACAUGCAAGUCGAACGCUGAAGCCUGGCUUUUGUUGGGUGGAUGAGUGGCGAACGGGUGAGUAACACGUGAGUAACCUGCCCCCUUCUUUGGGAUAACGCCCGGAAACGGGUGCUAAUACUGGAUAUUCACUGGUCUUCGCAUGGGGGUUGGUGGAAAGGGUUUUCUGGUGGGGGAUGGGCUCGCGGCCUAUCAGCUUGUUGGUGGGGUGAUGGCCUACCAAGGCUUUGACGGGUAGCCGGCCUGAGAGGGUGACCGGUCACAUUGGGACUGAGAUACGGCCCAGACUCCUACGGGAGGCAGCAGUGGGGAAUAUUGCACAAUGGGCGCAAGCCUGAUGCAGCGACGCCGCGUGAGGGAUGGAGGCCUUCGGGUUGUGAACCUCUUUCGCUCAUGGUCAAGCCGCAACAAUGGUUGUGGAGAGGGUAG